rnacentral:rRNA from 1 species
GAUGAACGCUAGCGGCAGGCUUAACACAUGCAAGUCGAGGGGUAUGCCGAUUUAUCGGCAGAGACCGGCGCACGGGUGCGUAACGCGUAUGCAAUCUACCUUUCACAGAGGGAUAGCCCAGAGAAAUUUGGAUUAAUACCUCAUAGUAUAGCAAUUUCGCAUGAAACCACUAUUAAAGUUCCAACGGUGAAAGAUGAGCAUGCGUCCCAUUAGCUAGAUGGUAAGGUAACGGCUUACCAUGGCUACGAUGGGUAGGGUCCUGAGAGGGAGAUCCCCCCANACUGGUACUGAGACACGGACCAGACCUCCUACGGGAGGCAGCAGUGAGGAAUAUUGGUCAAUGGACGCAAGUCUGAACCAGCCAUGCCGCGUGCAGGAUGACGGUCCUAUGGAUUGUAAACUGCGUUUUAUACAGGAAGAACACUCCCUCGUGAGGGAACUUGACGGUACUGUAUGAAUAAGCAUCGGCUAACUCCGU